rnacentral:misc_RNA from 1 species
CUUUUGAGACCCCUUUUAGUAGAAAUGGAUGUAGUAACUUUUGGCAUAAUAAUAGGAAUAAUAAUACUAUUUUUCUGUGCUGUUUGUGUAAUCACCAUAGAAGGCACUUGCAAGAACCGCUCUUCUUGAUUCCUAAUACCCUUUAUCCAAACACGCCCUUAUCAUCUCACCCUUCCAUAAAUUUAGGGUUUUUAGCUGAUUUUGUUCUUGCCCAAAUUGACAAAAUGUCGAAAAAAAUUGAUGCUUUGGUGAAACAGAUCUGCUUCUUCUUGAUUGUUUCUACUUCUUUAUGGCUAGUGAUUUUUGGGUCUUCUGUAGAAGCGAAGGCUCUAGAAGAUCCCAAGCAGGAAUUUCAUCAGUGUAGCCAUGGUCAUGGUCAUCAUGGCCAUGAGGGGCAUCACCAUGAUCAUGAUCAUGGGUCGAGUGGAGUUGAGCAGAGGAAGCUUCUAGAGGAAUUGGCUGAAGAGGAGGAUCUGAAACUGUAUGGAUUUGGG